AUCCGGCUGAGGAGUCCCAAAUUGGACGAAACGCACGUCUUGGAU
rnacentral:hammerhead_ribozyme from 1 species